CCCUCCCCCUCUUGUUCCUUCUCUCUCCCUCUCUCUCUCUCUCCCUCCCUCUCUCUGUGUCUUUCUCAAAAUAAACUUUAAAUAAAUAAAUCUGUUUUUCUCAUAUGAACAACUAAUUCUCUUAUAUUUCCCUCAUUGAUUUGUAAAACUUUCUGCUUUAUAUAAAUGGAUCUGUUUGGGGGUUCUUUAGUCUCUUCUUCUGGUUUUGUUUUUUGGUUUUUGGGGUUUUUUGUUUGUUUUGUUUUUUGGUCUGUUCCUGCACCAGCGUCACAUUGUCUUGAUUACUGUAAGCCUGAAGUAAUUCACCUGGUGUGAUCGGCCACUCCCACCCACCUUAUUCUUUUUCAUUUUCUUUUUUUCACCCUUUAGUUUUACAUAUAACUUUUGUGAUCAGCUUGUCAGAUUCCAUAUGGGGCUUUUGAUUAAUUGCGUUGAAUUUAUAGAUUCAUCUGAGGAGAAUUGACAUCUUUGUGGUUGGGUCUUUCCAUCUGUGAACAUGAUAUGUACAUAUCAUUUAGAUAUUCUUUUAUAUCCUCCGAUAAAGUUUCAUUUUUUUUCUUUAUUAGUUGACUUCAAAUUGCUUGUUAGAUUUGUUCCUAGGCAUAGGUACCUUGAAGAAUGGGAUCUUUUCCAAAUAGUAUUUUUAUUUGGCAUUGCUGGUCUUUGUGAACUCUGUUAAUCUUGUCUCCAACACCCUUACUUCAUUCCUUUUUAUUCAAAACUUCUCUUAGAUUUUCUGUGUAAAUUCUAAUGUCAAUUUUGUUUCCUGUUGUUUUUUAUUAACUUUCACAUAGGUAGUGUUGCUCUCUUUUAGUUCUCAUGUUUACCUUUUUCGGCAUUAAUUUAUAAAUAGGGUUGAAAACUUUUUCAAGCUAUUUAAAGGUAAAUUAAAUUUAAAGGUAACCUCACAAUUAAGCAGAAAAUUCUGAGAAACUCCAUUCCAUUCUAAGGUUAUUAAGCAUAUAAAAUAUUCGGUUUAAUAUAGUAACAAAGACAAAGACCAUCCAUUUUUGUCUUAUUGUUUUAAAAUAUUCUGUAACUUUGUUCAAAGCUAGCUUUUUCCUCUUGCCUGCUUGCUUCGCAUCCUAAAGUAAUUCUUUGUGCCUUUUUUUUUAAACUUCGCUAAUUAAGUGAUGUCUCUUUUCCAGUAAAAUCACUGGUUCCUUUCAUUAAAAGAAAUAUCUUACACAAAUACCUAUAGAAUAAAGAUAUGACUUUUAACUUUUAAAUUUGCAUGUUAAGUUCUGAAUUCCAAUAAUAUUAAACAGUCUAGCUUCCUUCUUUGGAAAUUGAUUUCUGCACAAAAUCCCAUUAAUCAUUCUCUCUCUCUCUCUUUCUCUCAUCCUCACUUCCUCAUUCUACACACACGUGCACACAUGCACAUGCACACACACAUACACACACACUUAAACACAAAUCCAGUGAAUUGUGUUCCAUAUAUGUAACAUACAUUCUGUAUAUAGAAGUUAGAAGUUAAAAGACUU